rnacentral:lncRNA from 1 species
GGAUGAUAUUGAAUUAUAACAUUGAAUUGUUUAGAACAGAUUGUGAUAAUACAUGAUGUAUCCUUUUGUUAGAUUGGAAAAUCAAUGAUCGAAGUUAAUAAAUGUCUACAUGCUUUCAACUUUGGUCCCGUGCGGUCUAUCAUUCCAUAGAUAUCCUUCAUGAAAACCUUCGUUACAGCAAGAACAUGACGACCUAAGAUUUGUCCGAAUAAACAAGACCAUUCAAGCCAUCUGUCUAUGUGAACCACAUUAAUAAGUGUACUGUAGAGCCAGAUGGAGGACCAGCAGAGAACAUACUGGAGGCCUUGCCUGUUGAAGUUGUUAUUGGGAAUCGGGGGAUCAGCAUGGGAUGCAAGUUUCCAUCAUGGCUUCUCCAGCUGAGGUAAGAAAGCUGUCUGAUGUUCAGCUCUGUGGAGUUGAAUAUGAACUUGACAGUGAAGAAUAACAUUGAGGGAUAAAAGUGAAUCAACAGUUCAUCAACAUUUCAGCUUUUUCUCAAAUCCAAUUUAUUACAGAUCCAACUGUGCAUUGUCAUAUCAUGUGAGCAGAGAGAAAAAAACAUGGUGGGGUUGAGGUUACAGGAAUCCUGUUGGCAUAUGUUUGCACUGUAUAUGAUAGGCAAUGCAUAUUAUGCGUGAUACUAUUUGAAGUAUGGCCAACAUAAGCAGGGUUGUCUACUAACCAUGGGUUGAUCAGUCAACAGAGCUUCAUCCUGUUCACUUCCUAAGCACUGGGAUGACACACAUGAUAAAUCAGCUGCUUACUCAGCUAAACCUCUAGUUUAAGUGGAAAUGAAUACACUAAUAUCUAACACGUUUUUGCUCAUUUAGAAUAGUCUACAUUCAAAGUACUUGCACAAGUGAUCAUCCAACCUGGUCGUGUGGUGCCAGGACAACAACCUCUCCCUCGAUGUGACCAAGACAAAGGAGAUGAUUGUGGACUACAGGAAAAGGAGGACCCGAGCACGCCCCCAUUCUCAUCGACGGGGCUGUAGUGGAGCAGGUUGAGAGCUUCAAGUUCCUUGGUGUC